rnacentral:misc_RNA from 1 species
UCAGUGAACGCCUGCUGGGCGCCCAGCACGUCGUUGUUGAGCCGGGAUAUUAGAGCGCCCGUCUGGGUCCGGGUGAAAAAAGCGAUCGGCAUGCGCUGGAUGUGGUUGAACA